rnacentral:rRNA from 1 species
UGUAGCAAUACAUGGCGUACUGCUCAGUAACACGUGGACAACCUGCCCUUAGGACGGGUAUAAACCCGGGAAACUGGGUAUAAUUCCCGAUAGGUCUCGUCUGCUGGAAUGCAUCGAGAUCCAAAGCUCCGGCGCCUAAGGAUGGGUCUGCGGCCUAUCAGGUAGUAGUGGGUGUAGCGUACCUACUAGCCUACGACGGGUACGGGUUGUGAGAGCAAGAGCCCGGAGAUGGAUUCUGAGACACUAAUCCAGGCCCUACGGGGUGCAGCAGGCGCGAAAACUUUACAAUGCUGGGAACAGCGAUAAGGGAACCUCGAGUGCCAGGUUACAAAUCUGGCUGUCGUGAUGCCUAAAAAGCAUUAUAUAGCAAGGGCCGGGCAAGACCGGUGCCAGCCGCCGCGGUAACACCGGCGGCUCGAGUGGUAACCGUUAUUAUUGGGUCUAAAGGGUCUGUAGCCGGCCGGAUAAGUCUCUUGGGAAAUCUGGCAGCUUAACUGUCAGGCUUUCAGGGGAUACUGUCUGGCUCGAGGCCGGGAGAGGUGAGAGGUACUUCAGGGGUAGGGGUGAAAUCUUGUAAUCCUUGAAGGACCACCAGUGGCGAA